GAUGAACGCUGGCGGCGUGCCUAAUACAUGCAAGUCGAGCGAACGGACGAGAAGCUUGCUUUUCUGAUGUUAGCGGCGGACGGGUGAGUAACACGUGGAUAACCUACCUAUAAGACUGGGAUAACUUCGGGAAACCGGAGCUAAUACCGGAUAAUAUUUUGAACCGCAUGGUUCAAAAGUGAAAGACGGUCUUGCUGUCACUUAUAGAUGGAUCCGCGCUGCAUUAGCUAGUUGGUAAGGUAACGGCUUACCAAGGCAACGAUGCAUAGCCGACCUGAGAGGCGGAUAGGCCACCCUGGAGCUGAGACACGGUCCAGACGCCUACGGGAGGCAGCAGUAGGGAAUCUUCCGCAAUGGGCGAAAGCCUGACGGAGCAACGCCGCGUGAGUGAUGAAGGUCUUCGGAUCGUAAAACUCUGUUAUUAGGGAAGAACAUAUGUGUAAGUAACUGUGCACAUCUUGACGGUACCUAAUCAGAAAGCCACGGCUAACUACGUG
rnacentral:rRNA from 1 species